ACCAAUAACCAGGGGGGGAGGCGUGGCUCCACAGGAUAUCCUCGUCCCCUUCCCAGCGCUUCCGGGUUCUCCUUGCGCGCCACUCCCACAUGUAGAACCCCUUUCUGGGAGGCAUGUUCGCAAUUUCUACCGUGUUCCUGGGUGGUUUGUCUUAAUCCAUACAGGAAAGGACAGUUAGCGACCGGACAGGUGACUGCCUUGGAUGAAGUCCUUGCCUCUGAUCAACAAAAGCCUUCUCUGGAAGAGCACAGCAGCUCCCCUAGUAGGUGCUAGGGAGACGGAACCAGAAAAUGAAGAGCACACACGAGGGAAGAGAAAGGCUGAGAAUCACAACAAUCUCAUGAACGAGACCCAUGUUCAGUGUGAAAAAGCGUACCCCUAAACGGGGAGCCGCGUCUCUCGCUCCGUUCGCGGGGUGGGGUGCCCCCAGGAAUCACGAGUAGCCGUCUUGAUGUAACAGCAAGAGUGCAGGGCUAUCUGAGAGGUGCCUGGUCCCAUGCUGCACGGAAGUGAGACAUCCAGGUGACCACUGUGCUGACAAAGCUGGGAUCACAUUGCCAGUCCACCACUGGGAUCUACUCAGUAGUCACGAGAUUCCCCGAAGCUGGGCCUGCUGGGCUCUGUCAGCGUCCAGCAUCCAUCGACGAGCACCCAGGUGUCUCUGCAUCAUCGCCCUGUGAUGCUUCUAAGUCUCACCUACCAGGAUGCUCCUGCAGCAAGGAGGUCAGGCCUUCCAGAGGGCUGCCUGGGGCUUAAGUCGACGGUGGACUUCAUCACCACUACUUUACGGUACAUGCAGGUGCAGUCACAUGAUAUGUUUAACUUGUGUACUUGUCCAUGUGUACAUGCAUGUGUUGUUUCAACUUUAUGUGUAUGUAGUGUGUGUUUACACAUGUAUUUCAGUCUCAAAUGUGAUUUCACAGGUGCUGAACACCUUGACUUUUGGACACCGGUUUACUCAAGGCCGUCAAGGUUGAAAUGCACCUGUCUUAGCUGGAUGGUGGUGGCACAUGCUUUAGUCAGGAGGAAGAAGACGGGGAUCUCAGUUCUGGGAUAUCCUGGUCUACAGAGCUGUAGAUGUCCCGCUCUUGUCUUGCACCCCAGCCAAAUCCCAUUACCGACCUGAGGGCCAGGAACAGCAGUGUGUCUAUGCAACUUCCUCCAGGGACAUUUCCGGGCAGCCCAGGCCAUCUUCAGUGUUCCAUGAAUCCCAGUUUAAGAAAGAGCACGUGCGACCUGCCUGACUGGAAUUUGUUUGUGUACAAGAAGAGACGGGGACAGAGACACAGACAGAACCUCACAGUGCAUGGACGUCAAGGAGUCAUCAGGAUGCGAGGCCAGAUCUCCAACCCAGGCUGGCCAGAGUCUCCGGGAGGUCCUCGUUGGUUUUGUCUGAUUAGCUAGCCUGUUCCAGAGGCUGAAGCCAGCACUGAAUCCAUGGAAUGAACUUCCCAGAGUUGUGCAUUAUGGGUUGGGGAACAUGGGGUCUAAUGGUGCCCUUCCUGCCUCUGAGAGGGAUAGGACACUCCUCUCUUCUCAAAUCAGACAGGAAAAAAAUGUCUGUCCUCAGAGAGCUUAGUGUUGCUCAGGGGACAGAGUAGAUAAGAAAGAGGAAUGUGUUUCCCAGGGGCAGAAUACUACUGGGACAGGGUGUUGAACUCAGCAGAUAUCCCAGCAGGGUGACUAUGCCAGGAACCUUGUUGUCCUGUGUUCAAAUUAGGAGAGACCGUUGGUCGGAGGGACCAUCCAUGUCAGUCACACGGGCUUCUGUGUGCCUCAGGCUGUGACAGAUGUUGGCACAGUCUAGGGAGAAAGAACACAGGAGAUGACAUCUUACCAAUGUGACAGUGGGAGGGACAGGGAAA
ensembl:lncRNA